AUUGAACGCUGGCGGCAUGCCUUACACAUGCAAGUCGAACGGUAACAGGUUAAGCUGACGAGUGGCGAACGGGUGAGUAAUGUAUCUGAACGUGCCCAGUCGUGGGGGAUAACUGCUCGAAAGAGCAGCUAAUACCGCAUACGACCUGAGGGUGAAAGCGGGGGAUCGCAAGACCUCGCGCGAUUGGAUCGGCCGAUAUCAGAUUAGGUAGUUGGUGAGGUAAAGGCUCACCAAGCCGACGAUCUGUAGCUGGUCUGAGAGGACGACCAGCCACACUGGGACUGAGACACGGCCCAGACUCCUACGGGAGGCAGCAGUGGGGAAUUUUGGACAAUGGGCGCAAGCCUGAUCCAGCCAUGCCGCGUGCGGGAAGAAGGCCUUCGGGUUGUAAACCGCUUUUGUCAGGGAAGAAAAGGUUCUGGCUAAUACCUGGGACUCAUGACGGUACCUGAAGAAUAAGCACCGGCUAACUACGUG
rnacentral:rRNA from 1 species